rnacentral:tRNA from 1 species
GGAAAAGUGACAGAGUGGUUGAAUGUAUUGGUUUUGAAAACCAAAGUAGUUUUAAAACUAUCGGGGGUUCGAAUCCCUCCUUUUCCGC